rnacentral:tRNA from 1 species
GGAGAGGUGGCCGAGUGGCCGAAGGCAAUCGCCUGCUAAGCGAUUGAGGGUUGAAGAAAUCCUCCGUGGGUUCGAAUCCCACCCUCUCCGCCA